rnacentral:rRNA from 1 species
UACGUAGGGGGGCAAGCGUUGUCCGGAUUUAUUGGGCGUAAAGAGCGUGUAGGCGGCUAGAUAGGUCCGUUGUGAAAACUCGAGGCUCAACCUCGAGACGUCGAUGGAAACCAUCUGGCUAGAGUCCGGAAGAGGAGAGUGGAAUUCCUGGUGUAGCGGUGAAAUGCGCAGAUAUCAGGAGGAACACCGGUGGCGAAGGCGCCGCUCUGGGCCGAAACUGACGCUGAGGAGCGAAAGCGUGGGGAGCGAACAGG